UGGUGGGUAGUUUGACUGGGGCGGUCUCCUCCUAAAGAGUAACGGAGGAGCACGAAGGUUGGCUAAUCCUGGUCGGACAUCAGGAGGUUAGUGCAAUGGCAUAAGCCAGCUUGACUGCGAGCGUGACGGCGCGAGCAGGUGCGAAAGCAGGUCAUAGUGAUCCGGUGGUUCUGAAUGGAAGGGCCAUCGCUCAACGGAUAAAAGGUACUCCGGGGAUAACAGGCUGAUACCGCCCAAGAGUUCAUAUCGACGGCGGUGUUUGGCACCUCGAUGUCGGCUCAUCACAUCCUGGGGCUGAAGUAGGUCCCAAGGGUAUGGCUGUUCGCCAUUUAAAGUGGUACGCGAGCUGGGUUUAGAACGUCGUGAGACAGUUCGGUCCCUAUCUGCCGUGGGCGCUGGAGAACUGAGGGGGGCUGCUCCUAGUACGAGAGGACCGGAGUGGACGCAUCACUGGUGUUCGGGUUGUCAUGCCAAUGGCACUGCCCGGUAGCUAAAUGCGGAAGAGAUAAGUGCUGAAAGCAUCUAAGCACGAAACUUGCCCCGAGAUGAGUUCUCCCUGAGACUUUAGAGUCUCCUGAAGGAACGUUGAAGACGACGACGUUGAUAGGCCGGGUGUGUAAGCGCAGCGAUGCGUUGAGCUAACCGGUACUAAUGAACCGUGAGGCUUAACCUUACAACGCCGAAG
rnacentral:rRNA from 1 species